rnacentral:rRNA from 1 species
AAAUGACUCUCGACAACGGAUAUCUCGGCUCUCGCAUCGAUGAAGAACGUAGCGAAAUGCGAUACUUGGUGUGAAUUGCAGAAUCCCGUGAACCAUCGAGUCUUUGAACGCAAGUUGCGCCCGAAGCCGUUAGGCUGAGGGCACGUCUGCCUGGGCGUCACAU